rnacentral:rRNA from 1 species
UACAGAGGUCUCAAGCGUUGUUCGGAUUCAUUGGGCGUAAAGGGUGCGUAGGCGGCGCGGUAAGUCGGGUGUGAAAUCUCGGGGCUUAACUCCGAAAACUGCAUUCGAUACUGCCGUGCUUGAGGACUGGAGAGGAGACUGGAAUUUACGGUGUAGCGGUGAAAUGCGUAGAUAUCGUAAGGAAGACCAGUGGCGAAGGCGGGUCUCUGGACAGUUCCUGACGCUGAGGCACGAAGGCCAGGGGAGCAAACGGG